rnacentral:rRNA from 1 species
GACGAACGCUGGCGGCGUGCUUAGCACAUGCAAGUCGAACGAUGAAGCCGGAGCUUGCUCUGGUGAAUUAGUGGCGAACGGGUGAGUAACACGUGAGUAACCUGCCCUUGACUCUGGGAUAACUGCGGGAAACUGUAGCUAAUACCGGAUACGACCCUCGGAGGCAUCUCCUGGGGGUGGAAAGAAUUUCGGUCAAGGAUGGACUCGCGGCCUAUCAGCUAGUUGGUGAGGUAAAGGCUCACCAAGGCGACGACGGGUAGCCGGCCUGAGAGGGUGACCGGCCAAACUGGGACUGAGACACGGCCCAGACUCCUACGGGAGGCAGCAGUGGGGAAUAUUGCACAAUGGGCGCAAGCCUGAUGCAGCAACGCCGCGUGAGGGAUGACGGCCUUCGGGUUGUAAACCUCUUUUAGCAGGGAAGAAGCGAAAGUGACGGUACCUGCAGAAAAAGCACCGGCUAACUACGUGCCAGCCGCCGCGGUAA